AGGGAGAGGAGGAGGAGGAGGAGGGACGACGAGGACGAGGAAACUGACGGGACGUGAGUCGAGGCUGCGGAGCCCAACAUCCGCAAAGACACGCGACAGAAACACGAAAAGAUUCGUGUUUUCCCUCCGGAAGUGACAUAUAUUCUCUGAAUCACAUUGAACUUUGACCAAAGAAAUUGAAAUGCAGAACUCCCAUCGAUUCCAAGGGCUUUCCUUCUACGACGCAACAGCUCGCUUGGACAGG